UUUAUUUAUUUAUUAUAAAAAUCAACGAUAUAAAAUAACUAUUUAGACGUACUAGAGCAAUUAGAAAAAACCGUUUGAGCAAAUUUUUCAUCAGAAUUAAAUUUCGUCUCGGUAUGUACAUGUACUACUAUACAAACUAUACAUCUACAUCUAAUAUGCCAAAGAAAGAGAAAAAUUAAAAAAGAAGAUAAAACUAUAGACUAAUGUUGUAUCCUUUGGCAGAAAACAAAAGAGAUGGCGACUCUAUUGAAAAACACUUAGAUUUUGUGUGUUUUGGAAUCUCAAAAGAGAGCGCUCAUAGAUUUUAAUUGUACAUUUAUAUGUAAGUAUUUACGUGCCUAUUGCUAUGUGAUACACAAUACAAAUAAAUAU